UACGGGGGGGGCAAGCGUUGUUCGGAAUUACUGGGCGUAAAGGGCUCGUAGGUGGCCAACUAAGUCAGACGUGAAAUCCCUCGGCUUAACCGGGGAACUGCGUCUGAUACUGGAUGGCUUGAGUUUGGGAGAGGGACGCGGAAUUCCUGGUGUAGCGGUGAAAUGCGCAGAUAUCAGGAGGAACACCCGUGGCGAAAGCGGCUCUCUGGGACGGUACUGACGCUGAGACGCGAAAGCGUGGGGAGCAAACAGG
rnacentral:rRNA from 1 species